CCCUUAGAUGUUCUGGGCUGCACGCGCGCUACACUGAUACUUUCAGCGAGUCCACCACCUUGCCUGGGAGGGUGGGGUAACCUCUGGAAAGUGCAUCGUGAUGGGGAUCGAUUAUUGUAAUUAUUAAUCUUCAACGAGGAAUUCCUAGUAAGCACAAGUCAUCAGCUUGUGUUGAUUACGUCCCUGCCCUUUGUACACACCGCCCGUCGCUCCUACCGAUUGAAUGUUCCGGUGAGCUCUUCGGACUGCGCGGUCUGCAGUUUCUGCGUUCCGUGCGGAAAGUUGCGCAAACCUUAACAUUUAGAGGAAGGAGAAGUCGUAACA
rnacentral:rRNA from 1 species